rnacentral:rRNA from 1 species
AGAGUUUGAUCAUGGCUCAGAUUGAACGCUGGCGGAAUGCUUUACACAUGCAAGUCGAGCGGCAGCGCGGGGGCAACCCUGGCGGCGAGCGGCGAACGGGUGAGUAAUGCUUCGGAAUCUGCCCAUGUAGUGGGGAAUAACCAGCCGAAAGGUUGGCUAAUACCGCAUACGACCUACGGGUGAAAGCAGGGGAUCGCAAGACCUUGCGCUAUUGGAUGAGCCGAAGUCGGAUUAGCUAGUUGGUAGGGUAACGGCCUACCAAGGCGACGAUCCGUAGCUGGUCUGAGAGGACGACCAGCCACACUGGGACUGAGACACGGCCCAGACUCCUACGGGAGGCAGCAGUGGGGAAUAUUGGACAAUGGGGGCAACCCUGAUCCAGCGACGCCGCGUGUGUGAAGAAGGCCUGCGGGUUGUAAAGCACUUUUAGUGGGGAUGAAAAGCUCAGGGCUAAUACCUCUGGGUCUUGACCUAACCCACAGAAAAAGCACCGGCUAACUCUGUGCCAGCAGCCGCGGUAAUACAGAGGGUGCGAGCGUUAAUCGGAAUUACUGGGCGUAAAGCGUGCGUAGACGGUCAUGUAAGUCGGGUGUGAAAUCCCCGGGCUCAACCUGGGAAUUGCAUUCGAAACUGCAUGGCUAGGAUGCGGAAGAGGGAAGCGGAAUUUCCGGUGUAGCGGUGAAAUUCGUAGAUAUUCGCAAGAACACCAGUGGCGAAGGC